rnacentral:rRNA from 1 species
CAGCAGCCGCGGGAAUACGAAGGGGGCUAGCGUUGUUCGGAUUUACUGGGCGUAAAGCGCACGUAGGCGGAUCGAUCAGUCAGGGGUGAAAUCCCAGAGCUCAACUCUGGAACUGCCUUUGAUACUGUCGAUCUGGAGUAUGGAAGAGGUGAGUGGAAUUCCGAGUGUAGAGGUGAAAUUCGUAGAUAUUCGGAGGAACACCAGUGGCGAAGGCGGCUCACUGGUCCAUUACUGACGCUGAGGUGCGAAAGCGUGGGGAGCAAACAGGAUUAGAUACCCGCGUAGUCCCUGUCUCUUAUAC